UACGAAGGGGGCUAGCGUUGCUCGGAAUCACUGGGCGUAAAGGGUGCGUAGGCGGGUCUUUAAGUCAGGGGUGAAAUCCUGGAGCUCAACUCCAGAACUGCCUUUGAUACUGGCGACCUUGAGUCCGGGAGAGGUGAGUGGAACUGCGAGUGUAGAGGUGAAAUUCGUAGAUAUUCGCAAGGACACCAGUGGCGAAGGCGGCUCACUGGCCCGGUACUGACGCUGAGGUGCGAAAGCGUGGGGAGCAAACAGG
rnacentral:rRNA from 1 species